rnacentral:tRNA from 1 species
GAGCGAGUCUCGCUGCCCUAGCGAAACCUGCCUCUUAAGCAGGGUGUCGAGGGUUCGAGCCCCUCCUGGCCCU